rnacentral:rRNA from 1 species
ACAGAGGCCCCAAGCGUUAGGCGGAAUCACUGGGCUUAAAGCGUGUGUAGGCGGAUCGUUAAGUGUCUUGUGAAAUCCCACGGCUCACCCGUGGAACUGCUGGGCAUACUGGCGAUCUUGGGCUAACUAGGGGCAGCCGGAACAAGCGGUGGAGCGGUGAAAUGCGUAGAUAUCAGGAGGAACGCCGGCGGCGAAAGCGGCUCUCUGGCCUGUUACUGACGCUGAGGCGCGAAAGCUAGGGGAGCAAACGGGA